UGUGUCGGUGACGAUAACUUGGCUCCCUCUACUGAGACUCAGUGAGGAUAAACGCCACAUGUUACCCAAAUCUUACUGAGAUGCA